rnacentral:rRNA from 1 species
GAUGAACGCUAGCUACAGGCUUAACACAUGCAAGUCGAGGGGAAACGAUAUUGGAAGCUUGCUUCCGAUAGGCGUCGACCGGCGCACGGGUGAGUAACGCGUAUCCAACCUGCCCACCACUUGGGGAUAACCUUGCGAAAGUAAGACUAAUACCCAAUGACGUCUCUAGAAGACAUCUGAAAGGGAUUAAAGAUUUAUCGGUGACGGAUGGGGAUGCGUCUGAUUAGCUUGUUGGCGGGGUAACGGCCCACCAAGGCUACGAUCAGUAGGGGUUCUGAGAGGAAGGUCCCCCACAUUGGAACUGCGACACGGUCCAAACUCCUACGGGAGGCAGCAGUGAGGAAUAUUGGUCAAUGGACGAGAGUCUGAACCAGCCAAGUAGCGUGCAGGAUGACGGCCCUAUGGGUUGUAAACUGCUUUUAUAAGGGAAUAAAGUGAGUCUCGUGAGACUUUUUGCAUGUACCUUAUGAAUAAGGACCGGCUAAUUCCGUGCCAGCCGCCGCGGUAA